GGAAUUUUCCGCAAUGGGCGAAAGCCUGACGGAGCAAUACCGCGUGAGGGAUGGCGGCCUGUGGGUUGUAAACCUCUUUUCUCAAGGAAGAAGUUCUGACGGUACUUGAGGAAUAAGCAUCGGCUAACUCUGUGCCAGCAGCCGCGGUAAUACGGGAGUGGCAAGCGUUAUCCGGAAUUGUUGGGCGUAAAGCGUCCGCAGGCGGUCUGUCAAGUCUGCUGUUAAAGCGUGGAGCUUAACUCCAUUUCGGCAGUGGAAACUGACAGACUAGAGUGUGGUAGGGGCAGAGGGAAUUCCCGGUGUAGCGGUGAAAUGCGUAGAUAUCGGGAAGAACACCAGUGGCGAAGGCGCUCUGCUGGGCCAUAACUGACGCUCAUGGACGAAAGCCAGGGGAGCGAAAGGGAUUAGAUACCCCAGUAGUC
rnacentral:rRNA from 1 species